UACAGAGGGUGCGAGCGUUGUCCGGAAUCACUGGGCGUAAAGGGCGCGUAGGCGGCGCGGUAAGCGUGCGGUGAAAGCCCGGGGCUCAACCCCCGGGUCGGCCGUGCGGACUGCCGGGCUGGAGCACUGUAGAGGCAGGUGGAAUUCCUGGUGUAGCGGUGAAAUGCGCAGAUAUCAGGAAGAACACCCGUGGCGAAGGCGGCUCUCUGGGACGGUACUGACGCUGAGACGCGAAAGCGUGGGGAGCGAACAGG
rnacentral:rRNA from 1 species